AACCCAUGGUGAGGGCAUUGAUUGGUGUAGCUUCUGAACCUCUCCCAAGAUUCACCAAAAGUUUUGCUUUGAUGUUGUAUAAAGGAUGAGAUUUGGUUCCUGAGCUU
rfam:Eutrema salsugineum unplaced genomic scaffold scaffold_23, whole genome shotgun sequence.